GACAGAGGGUGCAAACGUUGUUCGGAAUUACUGGGCGUAAAGCGCGUGUAGGCUGUCUCGCAAGUCGGAUGUGAAAGCCCUGGGCUCAACCUAGGAAGUGCAUUCGAAACUUCGAGACUCGAGUCUUGGAGAGGAUCGCGGAAUUCUCGGUGUAGCGGUGAAAUGCAUAGAUAUUGUCAAGAACACCAAUUGCGAAGGCAGCUUACUAAAUUAUAACUGACGCUGAGGCACGAAAGUGUGGGUAUCAAACAGG
rnacentral:rRNA from 1 species